rfam:Fukomys damarensis contig80644, whole genome shotgun sequence.
UGUAAACAUCCUACACUCUCAGCUGUGGACAGUAAGGAGCUGGGAGAAGGCUGUUUACU